CUCUUCUUCCUGAGGCAUCACAAUCAAAAGCUUCUGGACAAAUAAUGAAAAGUGAUCUGAAAAGUAAAAAAACCUAUUUAUUAGAUCUGUCUCUCUUGAAGCACAAAUAAUACACUGGGAUACCACUUAGUACGAUUAAAAUACCUAUAACUACAUACAAAAACAGAAUAGUUAAUACAAAUUGAGGGAACAACUGUUUAAAGUUGAGAUGAAAAAUCUAGUGUCAUGAGCAGGAUUUGAACCUAUGACCUACGGCUUAAUACACCACUGUUUUCACCACUUGAGUGAGCUAUCUUAACUUCAAUCCACUCGGACACCAACUCCUCAUACCAACCUACCUUUCGAAUUUUUCAAAUAUCAUGUAAUCAGGAUUUGAUUCUCGGCAACUUAUGAAGUGGCCAUUGGGAGCAUUAAUAAGGUAGUAGUAAUGGAACUAAAGUCAUUAUUAUGUACGACCAUAUAUGUAUUUCGUAAUCAUAAUAUGUAUGGAUAUUACUUUUGUAUGUUUUGUACAUAAAGUAAUCUUGGUUA